AGUGGAUGGGGAGCAACCUAGUUGUGCGUGUGUAAAGGUAGUGCCAAGAAAAGCGAUGAUCAUGUUGAAAAUCAAUUCCCGGUACCCGAAACCGACACAGGUGGGCAAGUAGAGAAUACUAAGGGGCGCGAGGUAACUCUCUCCAAGGAACUCGGCAAAAUGACCCCGUAACUUAGGGAGAAGGGGUGCCACCGAGAGGUGGUCGCAGUGAAGAGGCCCAGGCGACUGUUUAGCAAAACAUAGGUCUCUGCAAACUCGAAAGAGGAGGUAUAGGGGCUGACGCCUGCCCAGUGCCGGAAGGUUAAAGAAGUUGGUCAGUUUUAGGAUGAAGCUAGCGACUGAAGCCCCGGUGAACGGCGGCCGUAACUAUAACGGUCCUAAGGUAGCGAAAUUCCUUGUCGGGUAAGUUCCGACCCGCACGAAAGGCGUAACGAUCUGGGCGCUGUCUCGGAGAGAGGCUCGGCGAAAUAGGAUUGUCUGUGAAGAUACGGACUACCUGCAUUUGGACAAAAGACCCUAUGAAGCUUUACUAUAGCUUGGAAUUGUGUUCGGGCUUCCUGUGCGCAGGAUAGGUGGGAGGCGUAGAAGGUAUUCUUGUGGGGAUACUGGAGCCAACGGUGAGAUACCACUCUCAGGAGGCUAGAAUUCUAACUUAAUUAAGGACAGUUUCAGGUGGGUAGUUUGACUGGGGCGGUCGCCUCCAAAAAGGUAACGGAGGCGUACAAAGGUUCCCUCAGACUGGUUGGAAAUCAGUCGAAGAGUGCAAAGGCAGAAGGGAGCUUGACUGCGAGAAGUACAGUUCGAGCAGGGUGGAAACACGGUCUUAGUGAUCCGACGGUGCUGUGUGGAAGGGCCGUCGCUCAACGGAUAAAAGUUACUCUAGGAUAACAGGCUGAUCUCCCCCAAGAGUUCACAUCGACGGGGAGGUUUGGCACCUCGAUGUCGGCUCAUCGCAACCUGGGGCGGAAGUACGUCCCAAGGGUUGGGCUGUUCGCCCAUUAAAGCGGUACGUGAGCUGGGUUCAGAACGUCGUGAGACAGUUCGGUCCAUAUCCGAUGUAGGCGUGAGAAUAUUGAGAGGAGCCUUCCUUAGUACGAGAGGACCGGGAAGGACGCACCGCUGGUGUACCUGUUAUGAUGCCAAUUGUAAACGCAGGGUAGCCAAGUGCGGAGAGGAUAACCGCUGAAAGCAUCUAAGUGGGAAGCCCACCUCAAGAUGAGUAUUCUGGUGUAAGGUCACGGGAAGACGACCCGUAAAUAGGCACGAGGUGGAAGUGCAGAGAUGUAUGAAGCCGAAGUGUACUAAUAGACCGUCGGCUUGACC
rnacentral:rRNA from 1 species